rnacentral:rRNA from 1 species
CCUACGGGUGGCAGCAGUGAGGAAUAUUGGUCAAUGGCCGGAAGGCUGAACCAGCCAUGCCGCGUGAAGGUCAGUGCCCUAUGGGCGUUAAACUUCUUUUGUGCGGGAGCAAUAAUGGUCACGUGUGGCCAGACGAGAGUACCGUACGAAUAAGCAUCGGCUAACUCCGUGCCAGCAGCCGCGGUAAUACGGGGGAUGCAAGCGUUAUCCGGAUUUAUUGGGUUUAAAGGGUGCGUAGGCUGUGAGGUAAGUCAGCGGUGAAAUGCACCCGUGCAACGGGGUGAAGUGCCAUUGAUACUGCCUUGCUGGAAUGCGGAUGCCGUGGGAGGAAUGUGUGGUGUAGCGGUGAAAUGCAUAGAUAUCACACAGAACACCGAUUGCGAAGGCAGCUCACGAAACCGCGAUUGACGCUGAUGCACGAAAGCGUGGGUAUCAAACAGGAUUAGAUACCCCUGUAGUC